ACACACACGGUUCAGAACACAUCCACGGUUCACUAGCAAUGGCAACGACAUCCAAGUCCAUGGCGUCCCCUGCGCUUCCUCUCCUUGCCAUGGUGCUCAUGCUCGCGGCUUCUGCUCUGGCCCAGGCACCAGCACCUGCGCCGCCACCGACACCGACAACAACGGUGGCGCCCUCUCCAUCCCAAGCUUUCUGUCCUCCCAGCUUCGACACUCUUCAGGCCUUCCAAAAGGAAGCUGCACAACAUGGGGAUCAGAUGCUUUUUGCUUACUUCCCUCUCUUUGGAUCGAGCGCAAGUAUUACCAGCAAGAUGACGGGUAUCCUAAGCCAAAACCCUACCUGGAAACUAUGCGUGUGUUUCCCUAAUCCCUUCUUCAUCCUAGGCUUAACGGGUCCUGAAGUGACAUGCGCCUACUAUGUAGGCUCAGUCUCGGUCUAAGCAUCUAUCCAUGCAACAUUGUUAUGCUCGCAAGCAUGACGCAACUGAAGUAUGCGUGCAGCUUGAGUCUUACUCUUACACUACCGUAUAGUAUAUGAAUAAGUUGCCUUCUUAGGGCAUGCAUGUGUCAUGUCUACGAGGACACUAGUUCUCAUGUAUUUGUGCAACACCAGGUAACUGGAGUUGACCGAUUUGUGUAGCGUCGUGAGAUAUGUUUAUGUUGUUGUAUGUCUGCUCCAUAUAUAUAUACCGGAAGCAUUAUAAAUGCUUUCUUUACUUGGAAGAAUUUGACUUAAGAUAAACUCAGAAUCCAUCCUAUAAUAAAAAAAGAGGUAUGGGUCGAGCAAAUGCUGCCAUACUUCUC
rnacentral:lncRNA from 1 species